rnacentral:rRNA from 1 species
GCAUGUACCAGUUUAAUCGAUUUAUCGAGAAACCGCGAACGGCUCAUUACAAUGGCCAUGAUUUACUUGAUCUUGAUUAAUCCUAAAUGGAUAACUGUGGAAAAUCUAGAGCUAAUACAUGCACUAAAGCUUUGACCUUACGGAAAAGCGCAUUUAUUAGAACAAAACCACGCGGCUUCGGCUGCUUUUUGUUGACUCAGAAUAACUAAGCUGACCGCAUGGCCUCAGUGCCGGCGGCGUGUCUUUCAAGCGUCCACUUUAUCAACUUGACGGGAGCAUAAUCGACUCCCGUGGUUGUGACGGAUAACGGAGGAUAAGGGUUCGACUCCGGAGAAGGGGCCUGAGAAAUGGCCACUACGUCUAAGGAUGGCAGCAGGCGCGCAAAUUACCCACUCUCGGCUCGAGGAGGUAGUGACGAGAAAUAACGAGACCGUUCUCAUUGAGGCCGGUCAUCGGAAUGGGUACAAUUUAAACCCUUUAACGAGUAUCAAGGAGAGGGCAAGUCUGGUGCCAGCAGCCGCGGUAAUUCCAGCUUCUCCUAAUGCAUAGAAUUAUUGCUGCGGUUAAAAAGCUCGUAGUUGGAUUCGUAUCGAUACUCUGGAACCCUUCGGGUGUUUCUGGAUGUUAUCGAUUUUAUCGUAAUGUUCGGUUUUGAGUCCUUAACAGGAUUCUUAACAGGCAUUGCAAGUUUACUUUGAACAAAUCAGAGUGCUUCAAACAGGCGUAUUCGCUUGAAUGAUCGUGCAUGGAAUAAUAGAAAACGAUUUCGGUUCAGUUUUAUUGGUUUUACGGACUGAGAUAAUGGUUAACAGAGACAAACGGGGGCAUUUGUAUGGCCACGUGAGAGGUGAAAUUCUUGGACCGUGGCCAGACAAACUACAGCGAAAGCAUUUGCCAAGAAUGUCUUCAUUAAUCAAGAACGAAAGUCAGAGGUUCGAAGGCGAUCAGAUACCGCCCUAGUUCUGACCGUAAACGAUGCCAACUAGCGAUCCGCCGAUGGAGAUUAUAAUUGCCUUGGUGGGGAGCUUCCCGGAAACGAAAGUCUUCCGGUUCCGGGGGAAGUAUGGUUGCAAAGCUGAAACUUAAAGGAAUUGACGGAAGGGCACCACCAGGAGUGGAGCCUGCGGCUUAAUUUGACUCAACACGGGAAAACUCACCCGGCCCGGACACUGUGAGGAUUGACAGAUUGAUAGCUUUUUCAUGAUUCAGUGGAUGGUGGUGCAUGGCCGUUCUUAGUUCGUGGAGUGAUUUGUCUGGUUUAUUCCGAUAACGAGCGAGACUCUAACCUACUAAAUAGUUGAUAUUUUUUUAUAAGAGUAUACAACUUCUUAGAGGGAUUUGCGGUGUUUAGCCGAAAGAAAUUGAGCAAUAACAGGUCUGUGAUGCCCUUAGAUGUCCGGGGCUGCACGCGCGCUACACUGGCAAAAUCAACGUGCUUGUCCUUCCCCGAAAGGGGCGGGUAAACCAUUGAAAAUUUGCCGUGAUUGGGAUCGGAAAUUGCAAUUAUUUUCCGUGAACGAGGAAUUCCAAGUAAGUGCGAGUCAUCAGCUCGCGUUGAUUACGUCC